rnacentral:lncRNA from 1 species
AGAUACUUAACCGAAUCCCCUUGUUACUUAGUCACUUAGCCAACCAUCCCCACAUGACCAUGAACAAAGAGAGAUGGCUGGGUUCCAACCAGGCAUCCAGAACAGACAGUACGCCAGCCUUUCUAGCAUUCCAGCACCAAACUUCCGAUAACCGCCUCAGAUACUGUUACCCUUGAUCCAUAACCAGUCGCUAAUCAUACCAUGAUCAGACAGUACAUCAAUCGGUCUAUACAACUCUCGUUUCGACAGUAACCACACGGCCAUCCAGUCCCUCAGUCACACACAACACGCU